GCCUGGGUGGCUCAGUCAGUUAAGCAUCUGACUUUGACUCAGGUCAUGAUCUCACAGUUUGUGGGUUCAAACCCCGCAUUGGGCU
rfam:Felis catus isolate Cinnamon breed Abyssinian chromosome F2, whole genome shotgun sequence.